UACGUAGGGUCCAAGCGUUAUCCGGAAUCACUGGGCGUAAAGGGUGCGUAGGCGGGUCUUUUAAGUCAGGGGUGAAAUCCUGGAGCUCAACUCCAGAACUGCCUUUGAUACUGAGGAUCUUGAGUUCGGGAGAGGUGAGUGGAACUGCGAGUGUAGAGGUGAAAUUCGUAGAUAUUCGCAAGAACACCAGUGGCGAAGGCGGCUCACUGGCCCGAUACUGACGCUGAGGCACGAAAGCGUGGGGAGCAAACAGG
rnacentral:rRNA from 1 species